rnacentral:tRNA from 1 species
UCCUGGUUAGCUCAGAUGGUAGAGCGGCCACCCCGGAAAGGUGUUGGUCCCGGGUUCGAAUCCCGGACUAGGAC